GAGAAAGGUGUGGAGUUCUGCUCCACAGAAACAGAAGAAUCAAGUAUAGUGUGGAGUCUUCUGGAGAGGUUACUGGAGCAAGAGUGAAGAGAUCAUAGGGUCAUUGAAGAGCUCCUUUAAGAAGAAGAAAAAGAUCUUUGUUGAACCAUGUCAGUCCAAGGUGGCUGAUGUUACAUCAGGAUCAUAACUGUUUUGAUUUAAUCUACAUUUCAGCAGUCAUUCUUCAUUGAACCAGAAGUUGUGCUGCAUGACCAUACUUGUGCACAUACCCUAGGCUUUCUACAGACCCAAUCUAAGAGUACAGCAGCUGACAGGGGCCUCACUUGUUUCUUCUUUAAUUGUUGACUUUUCCCACUGCAAGUGUCAUCUCAGAUGAUCCUUAAACUUACACAUUCUGAAGCUAUCACAAAGUGUUAUCAGAUAUAGCAAAUAAAAUAAAAGAUGCUCAGGUGAGUUUGAAUUUAAAAAAGAAACA